rnacentral:rRNA from 1 species
AAAUUUAGUAGCGAAGUAGCUGAUUUCACACUGUCAAGAAAAGUCUCUAUCGAGGUUAAAGGUACCCGUACCGCAAACCGACACAGGUGGGGGAGGAGAGUAUCCUAAGGCCAGCGAGAGAACUGUUGUUAAGGAACUCGGCAAAAUGACCCCGUAACUUAGGGAUAAGGGGUGCCACCAUCAGGUGGCCGCAGAGAAUAGGCCCAAGCGACUGUUUACCAAAAACAUAGGUUUCUGCUAAG